ACACCGUCCUUCAUUUUUGGAUGGCCAUUGGAAAAAACUAUUUUUGUUAAAAAUGUGCAUAUUUACAAGCGUUUCAUCUCAACAACAUGAGAAACAUUAAAGGUAUAAUAUGAAACAGAAACAUUAAAGGUAUAAUAUGGUACAGUUGUCGGCUGCUGUUCGUAAACACACAGCGUUCAACGUUGGCUCAAGGACUGAGCUAUAGAGUGAAUGAAGAGAGGGAGCGGCGUUAGUGAGAACAAUGCAGUGAAUCAGAGAAAUAAAAACGGUAUUUUUCCGUUGUGUCCCGGCGGUUAUGUUC